AUUGAACGCUGGCGGCAUGCCUUACACAUGCAAGUCGAACGGUAACAGGCCGCAAGGUGCUGACGAGUGGCGAACGGGUGAGUAAUGCAUCGGAACGUGCCCAGUCGUGGGGGAUAACUGCUCGAAAGAGCAGCGAAUACCGCAUACGACCUGAGGGUGAAAGCGGGGGACCGAAAGGCCUCGCGCGAUUGGAGCGGCCGAUGUCAGAUUAGGUAGUUGGUGGGGUAAAGGCCUACCAAGCCGACGGUCUGUAGUUGGUCUGAGAGGACGGCCGGCCACACUGGGACUGAGACACGGCCCAGACUCCUACGGGUGGCUGCAGUCGAGAAUCUUCGGCAAUGGGCGAAAGCCUGACCGAGCGAUGCCGCGUGCGGGAUGAAGGCCCUCGGGUUGUAAACCGCUGUCGUAGGGGAGGAAGGUUCCGUGAAGAGCGGGACUUGACCUAUCCUAGGAGGAAGUACGGGCUAAGUUCGUGCCAGCCGCCGCAGUAAAAC
rnacentral:rRNA from 1 species